GUGGUGCGCAGGCGCAGUCUGCGCAGGGACUGGCGGGACUGCGCGGCGGCGACUACAGACGUGUCGGGGGUCCGGGGCCUGUCGCGGUUGCCAAGCGCUCGGCGCCUGGCGCUGGCGCUGGCCAAGGCGUGGCCAACAGUGUUGCAAACAGGAACCCGAGGUGUUCACUUCACUGUUGAAGGAACGAGAGGGCAUCUGCUAAAGUUUCAGAUUCCAUUUCUGCUCAGUAUCCAGUAGUGGAUCAUGAAUUUGAUGCAGUGGUGGUAGGCGCUGGAGGGGCCGGCUUUGCGAGCUGCAUUUGGCCUUUCCGAGGCAGAGUUUGAUACAGCAUGUGUUACCAAGCUGUUUCCUACCAGGUCACACACUGUUGCAGCGCAGGUAAGAGAAAGGUGCCCCACUGUGCUCCCACUCCGUGCAGGUCCCGCGCAGCCUCGCACUUUCUACCUGGGCAGCCUCCUGCCUCCUCCCCGUGCUCCAGCCACUUGGCCUCUUGCUGUGCCUUACUCAGCUCACCCAUUCAGGGGUCUCUCCCUGGAGCCUCUUCCCUGGGGACUUUGAA
rnacentral:lncRNA from 1 species